rnacentral:rRNA from 1 species
UACGGAAUGUGCAAACGUUAUUCGGAAUCACUGGGCUUAAAGAGUCCGUAGGCGGCAUGUUAGGUGAGGUGUGAAAUCCCCCGGCUCAACCGAGGAAUUGCGCUUCAAACCGGCGUGCUCGAGGAAGAUAGAGGUGGGCGGAACUGAUGGUGGAGCGGUGAAAUGCGUUGAUAUCAUCAGGAACACCGGAGGCGAAGGCGGCCCACUGGGUCUUUUCUGACGCUGAGGUGCGAAAGCGUGGGGAGCAAACAGG